CUUAGUGGACUUCCUCUCUUCCAAUGUGUGGAACCCAUGGAGUAACUGGCUCCAAAUGAGUGACGACCAUUUUGGCGGGUUAUGUCAAGUGUGUUUUAUACACGCUUGGUUUUUCGCCCUAACAUGACUAAGGCUUGCAAGUAAUAGAUUUUCCAAAGCGUCCGAAGUAUUCAUUUGUGCUCUUUUCGACCGUUACGCAUGUUUUUGUUUCAUUUUCUUCUUUGAUCGCUUUAUUGUAGUUUUUUAUUUUUUGUCUCUUUUCUUUUUCAUUUAUUACUUGUUUUGUUAUAUUACUGUGUUACUUUCAAAAAAUAGAAUCUACGAGAUGGAAUUCAACCUGCUUUAAAAAAAGCAGCUAUUGCUUGGACUCGUGAGUAUGGGCUCUUACACGCUGAUAAAUACUAUUGUUAUCAUCGGAAUCCGAUUACGUUAUGUGACGAGGCAAAGCACAGGUUUGGCUGAUUUCGAUAUCCCCUUGGCCAUCAAAAAAGCAAAUCAUAUAAUAUGUAACCACAAUUAAUUUUUUGAGGAAAUUCUCUUACCUUUUGACAAAGCGGUCAUAUUGAUAUACUGUUCUGCUCCAGAUUUUUCAUGCACGGAUACCAUUCAUGAAUUGAGUGAUUUCACAUUAGGCAACGACUUUGUGGUACUACUAUCAUUUGCAACAAUUGCUGUGUGGUUCUAUUAUCACUGAGAGAUGAUAAUGGGACACUUUUUAAAUAUAAUGUGGAGAAACCAAAAUUACAGGAGGAUUUUGGGAGCUGGAUCUUCAACCAUUGCUCGGAUUGACCAAGCCAAAUUGGACAAACAAAAAUAUAAUCGUGGCAGCAGAGUUGUAAGUCAUUGAAUUUUGGGUCUGGUAAAUACCCCCCUGCCCAAAAAAAAGAAAAAAAAAACAGAUGGUAUUAGUGUUAAAUGCUAAGGUGACGACAUUAGUUUUAGCAAUAAAAGGAAAUGUUGUCGUUGAUAGUGAAAUCUAUAUCUGCUGUUUCAAAAGUUAUGCCAUAUUGAUUGCAGAGGGAUACCUGCUUAGAAUAGUCAAUCAUAAUGUAGAUUUUGUAAGUAAGCUAGAAUUGAUUUUAGUUUGGGUUAGUAUUUACUUCUCAGCCGCCAUGAAUUGGCUGGUUAUGUUAGUACAAACAAAUUUUUGGUCAAUUCAACUAUAGUUAUUGAUGAUAUGAUUAUGUAUAAAAAAAAAAAAAAAUAGAAUCCAAUUGGUGGCCAGCUAAGGAUUGGAUGAGAUGAAGAGGUCGCUUACAUGAAUUUGUCGAUCGCUUAUGCCAAUUUUUGUAGCACCGAUUUUGUGGUCAUAACAACAUCGAUUUGAUGGCAUCGUUGAUAGAAACGCUCCGAAGACAGUAAGUCUGGAGCAUGUAAUUCUUCAUUUGUAAAGAUCAAUCAGAUGUCAUCUGUGCAGUCCACCUUUUGGACGAAAAAUGAAUAGAAGUAAAUAUGGCGUCAGAGUAACGUGUAAAAUACGCUAAAAACGCUCAACUUUACAUAGCCAUAACUUCUGAACCAGUAAAUUUUGCAACUUCAAACUUUCACUUUUGGAUUCUAUGCAUCAAAAACUAUUUUUCAACCUAAUUUUGUAGUAUUUCAAUUAAGUAGUAGUCCAUAUUGGUGCUAAUAUAAAAAUGGAUACAUAGAUAUUUUUAAAUUCGCAAUGAAAAGAAAAUUUGUUCUUUCACUUCCAGAUAACAAGAGUGCGCUGCAUGAGUUUCAUAAUGCUCAACUCACGAAAUGCUAUAUAGCAUUCUGCAUUUAUGUACUUCCGUGGUGGUGUCACGUAAACUUGUGACUUAGAUUAUAAAAAGAAGGUUGAGCCAUAGCCCAACUCUUAAUCUCCUUUUAUCAAACUUUAUUAUAAAUUCAAUGAUUACAAUAGUCUUACAGAGAUAGUAUAAUAUACUGAAUCAGAGAAAGGCUGAACAAGAACUGUCUGAGCUUGCUGAAGUCUCGACUUAUAUAUGUUUUGGUUUGGGGAUGUUGAGGGGCUUGGAGUAAGUUAUGAUGAUAAGGUGGUGCUGUGUGCAAAAGAGCCCGAAGGUAGGGAAGGAAGUCUUAUCCCUGAUGUAGAUUAAGGUGUGGUUGAUGUCACAUACCUCUCCCCUUAGAUUGAUUUUGGUCCCUCAAAAUUUUAGCGUUUCUUCAGUAUGGAGCGGUGGAAUUGGACUCUGGCUGGCUCAGUCUCUAUUUGUUCUUCUUCGUCGUGGCAUCUUAUGCUUUUGAGCUUUGUUGAUGCCUGUGGUAUCUGUGGUACUUUUGUAUAAAUAUUUAGGGGUGUAGCGUUUGUCACAAUGUUUUGAAUGUUGGUUUUACAGCAUAGUAGGUGGAUACAUAGUUUCGUUGGUAAACAUUUCUUCAAUAAGUCGAAUAUUCCUAUUUUGUUAAGAAGAUAAAUUCCUGUUAAUCUUAAGGCAGUGUAACCUGCUAUUUGCAGAAAUAAAAAAUGAUUUCAUUGAUUGUACACCCCAUGAUUUAAUUGAUUGUAUUCAGAGAGAAUACGUUAAUUGAUUGAUUUGAUCAGAUAUUUGGUUCAAAUUCUUUUGAUGUUCUGGAAUAUGACUAAAGAUUCUAGAUGUUCUCUCAAUCUUGUCUAACAAGUAGUUUAUUCUAGUAUCAUUUUCAAAAGGAAUCGUUUUAAGUUUAUACUCAAACGUUACGUUGUCUUUAGAUUGUCUUAUUUUCAUUAUACUAUCGUUAAAUAUUAAAUUACAUUGUUCAUCUGGAGAUUGAAUUAUAGAGGAUCUGCCUAUCUUAAUUUGUUUUUGACUGGCGUCGCAAAGCACGUGAAUUUCAAUUUCUUUUUGUGGUAUGGCUAUGUAUUGAUUCUAGCAAAUUUUAUAGCAAAUUUACAAACAUUUAUCUUUCUGCUAAAGUUAAUGAUUUCUGACGCACAAUCGUGAAUAGAUUUCUUAUCGUGUAUGGCUUGUGUUUGUUUGCACAUUGUGAUUCCUAUUUUCGUGUUACAAUUUUUAUCAAGGUAUUCAUUGUCAACAUUCAUAUAUGCAAAUUGAUGCGUUAAGAAUAUUGGAUGUUCAAUUACGGGUGCCAGAAAUGCAUGGCUUCUUUUAGUCGGUAUAGGGUAUACUCGCACUAUAUCCCAUACCAAAUCUGUUUGCAAAGGUACGGUUAUUUUAAAGAAAACUUUAGUUGCGACAGUGAAUACCGUUAGUCUUGAUAUAUCUAGAAUGAAUUGAUAAUUUUCGUAUUUUGUGUUAUAAAGGUGAUGGCCUAAUGCUUUCUUAUAAUUUUCGAUAAACAGUACGUGAUCAAUAAUCUGAGGGCUAAGGAUUCCUGCUUUUUCCAUGCUUAUGGCAUUAAAUAUUUCGUUAAAUUGGAAAUUGCACUUUCUGCUUGAAUUAUUAAAUCUGUUAUUAGUCUCUCCCUUAUAUUAUUAACGAUGUAUUCGUCAAAUUUAACUCUCAUUUCGUCGAUUUGUUUUAUACUGUCGGAUUUUAUGAUUUUACAUAUGAGCGCUGUUUGAUUUGCAACUAUAGUUUAUAAUUCGUUUCCUUCUUGAAAUAAUUUGUCAAUGUUAGUAUUUAUUAGGUCAUCGGUGUCAAGAGUUCCGAAUAGACUUUUCGAUAUAGAUUCAACAAUAUUCAACAAUCCUCUCUUAGUUAGUGUGUGAUUGUGUGUUAAAAGUCGUAAUUGGUAUGCUGAAGUUUCUAAUUUUUCUAUGUAUUGGUUUAGAGAUAUUAUUUCGUUAUGAAGUUCGCAUUUGUUUUUACAUACUUUCUCGAUGAACAUGACAUUCGCUUUCAUAUGAUUCAGUUUUUCGUAUACAUCGUUUAUAUCUGUCCCUAUAUACAUAUAAAUUUUGUCGAAAUAUAAGUAUGCUUGCUUAAUCUUUUCAUGAAAUACCUCACUGCCAUCUAAUUGUAAAACGUUAAUUUCUUCCCCAAACUUAGCGUAAAUUAGUGUUUUCGUCAGCUCAUCGUGAAUUGAUAGAAUAAAUUGGUUUCCUCGCUUAGUCUUUGCCAUUGGUCUUAUAAUGUCCAUGGUUAUUUUGUCGUUGGGGUUUAAAGGUGUGUCUGAAAUUACUGGUUCUUCUUUAAAACGUCACAAUUUUUAAUAAAAUUUUCGAUUCUACUCAUUAAAUUUGGGAUCUUAUAUUGUUUUUUGAUUCUUUGGUAUGUCUUUUGGAUUCCUAAAUGUCCUAUCGUACCGUUAUGAUUUUCCUGAAUUAUUUUUUCUAUUUCUUCCUCAGUUAAUUCUUGGAUUGGGACCCAUGCUAAAGUGACAGGGUGUCGGGUAUCGUUAAAGUAUAGAAGUAUAAACUUGAUUUGAUUCUUUUUUAAUUCUGUAAACGUGGUGUCUCCUAUACCUACUUUCUUGUUAUUCCGUAAUAUGUUAUUAACUUUCUUAACCAUAUUCUCUCGUCAAACUCUCCUAAUUCUGUUUUAGUUAGUUUAGAAGGAUUGAUCGUUAAGUUUCAUUUCUAAUCGUUUUGGGAUUUCUGAUUUCUUUUUCCAUUCCGCAAAAUGUUAUAAGAAAUCGAAGACUACCUCUCUUUCUAGGGUUUCUACUUUUUGAAUCGCAUGAAUUAUAGAUAAGCUAUCUGAAACUGGAUUGUCUUUGCCUUUAACAUAUUCGAUUCUGUAUUCAUAUUCUUCUAACUCCAUCGCAUUACUCUAGAUGAUGGGUCUUUGCAAUUAUUUAACCAUUUCAAAGCUUGAUGAUCUGCUCUAAUAAUAAAUUUUCAUCCUAACAAGUAUUGUCGUAAUUGUUUCAAUGCCAAACUAUCGCUAAUAGUUCUUUCUCAGUCGUCGUAUAAUUCUUUUCGGGUGGAUUCAGUGUUCUGGAAAUAAAACAACAUGGGUGUCCGUCUUGUGAAAGAACUGCUCCUAGUCCUUUACUUGCGUCGGUUGUUAUCGUAAAGAUCUUUGUAAAAUCUGGAUAAGUCAAAAUCGGGGCUUCACAUAAUUUUUGUUUCAACGUUUCAAAACUGUCUUGUUUGUUCGUCCAGUGAAAGUCAAUAUCUUUCUUAACACGUUCGUCGCCACGUCGCACAUAUCUAUGUGACGGGUAUACUUCCAUGAGGGCUCCGUCGCCAAGGUAUGGUGACGCUCUUCUUGUUCGAGGAUGCCGACAUGUCGAGGCAUCAACGCGGUCGUAACACCUCCCGGGCGAUCCGCGGGUACCAACCGCCAACACCAGAGGGCUACUACGACGACAACGAGUCUGUCUGUCUCGCUAGCGGUCGAAUAUACGGUGUCACGAUACAAAUACCGCAUCUAGCGAGACUCCCUCUACGUCUAAGGCAGGGACUACCGGGCAUAGCCUUACUGACGAGUCCACCGGUAGUCCCGGGACGAAACGCGAAUUCUCUUUUCACCUGGCAGCAACUACUCCACUACACUUCCUACAAAGUGGUGGCCACCGACAACGAACACGCACCUCUGGAGAAGGAGUCAAAAGGAGCCAGCCGCAUCGUCCCCCUAUGACGAUCAGCCUUCCAUCAUCGACGACGGGCCAUUCCCUCUAUCUUGUAUCGCGCUAUAUGACUUCGAGGUCACGCUAUAGCGCUAAGGGGAGGCUGUGCGGCGGAUUGGUGCCAACAGGACGCCGACAGAUCCGAGGCAUCAACGCGGUCGUAACACCUCCCAGGCGAUUCGCGGGUACCAACCGCCAACACCAGAGGGCUACUACGACGACAACGAGUCUGUCUGUCUCGCUAGCGAUCGAAUAUAGGGUGUCACGAUACAAAUACCGCACCUAGCGAGAGACACUCCCUCUGCGUCUAAGGCAGGGACUACCGGGCAUAGCCUUACUGACGAGUCCACCGGUAGUCCCGGGACGAAACGCGAAUUCUUUUUUCUCCUGGCAGCAACCACCAAUUACUACACUUCCUACACCAUACUUUUUAUUAAUUUAUAUUCUGGAUAAUAUAUUAUAUUAUUUUA